CAAAGGAGGCCCCAUCUACACCUGCCUCCUGAAUGAAAAUCUUUCCUGUGCCUAUUGAAGAUGUUGGGGAUUGAACACUGAACUUGAAGGGAGCACCCUCUUUCUAAGCCACCCGUCUCCUCAUUGCAAGCUAAGGAUUCCAAUACCUGCUGGGAACUUUCUACGUUCCUUAAAUUGUACAUGGUCCCCAGUAAAAUCUAAUAUGAUACUUGAGAAACAAGGCGUUUCUGUGCCUCUGCAGUCACCCAGGGGAAGUGCAUCUGACUAUUUUCCCCCUCCCUUUGUUUGGAUCAGGGAGAUGUGGUGUUUGCUGCAAGUGCUCCAAGUACCACUAUUUAUUCAGCAGAAUGACAGACAUUUGUAUCUCCACAGAGCUGUGUUCAUCAAUAAUUUACUGCACAGAUAAUGCUCCUUGAGCAGUAAUAAUCAAGAACAGACUGCUGGUAAGCAAAGGAACAAGCAGUACUUCAUUAUCAGUGCUUAUUCUGGAUAGUAUUCUCCAAGGAUGAAUUCAGAUCAGUGCUGUCAUACUGUUGGCACUGUACAACCAGCCUAGAGCUGGGGCUAACUGGGUGACCUGGCCUCUGGGCAGGUCCUACAAGAGGUGUGAGGGCAGCCAGUGGACCGGCCACACACUUGUGUUGAGUGAAGGAAAGCUUUGGGAAGGCUGUCAAGGAGAGCAGAAGGAGUAGAUGCAAGUCUGCCUUGAACCUUCCACCUGGAGGAGCAGCCCAAGUAGAGAUGUGCAGACAUCUCUGGAGAGCCCAUCUCCAUCAGCUCCAAUCAUGGCUUCUGUUGGUAGGACCUCCAGCUGGCUUCCCCAGCCCUUCCCAGCCCUUUUUUGCCCCACCACCACUGGAGAAGGGAGAGGAAGCCCCGGGUUCUCAUUUCCCAGUGCAUGAGGAGGGAGAGGAAUCUCCCCUGCACUGAGACAUCUCAGCCAGAUGUGACUUCAGCUCUGUUGAAACGCCAUAUUGCAGCCAUCCCAGCCUUGGCUGCUUCUCUUGCUGGGGGAGUCUCUGGCUGGCUCCUGACAGCUCUUUCUUGUACAUCCAGACUGUGGCAAAGCACAGGGAUGAUCAGACAGACUCCACACGCUAACAGCCACAAUGCAUAUUUAUGCAAUCAUCAUCAGAAGAGCGUGCAAUGCUUAGCAUUUAUAUUGAGUUUUGCCUCCUGACUCGCAGGCACACAUUAAAAUUCUCACUCUGCUCCUGAAUAUCAAUAUCUGCUAUCUGUCUCCCCUUCUCUCUCACCCUGCUUUCCUGAAAGGGAAUAAAUAACACCUUGUUGAUGAGAGAGGUGUUUCUUUAUUCAGAGCAAUCAGACAUAGAAAUCUGUUACUUGCACCAUGCAUGCUCAGGUGCCACACAGCCCUAAGUAUUGUCAUUCCCCUGUAUUCUUCUUGUGUCCCCACAGAGACCCGGCUCUGCUCAGAAGACAAAUCAGCCACAUUCAUGGAUAGAGAUUUCCCCUGGUUAAUUCAAUCCAGUGUUUAUCCUACACCUGUCUGUCUGUAGCUGCUGCCAGAGCUUGCUCAUCCUAUAAGCUUUUCUUCGCUUCAGGCAAUCCAGCAGACUCCAGCAUCCCAAUUCUCCAUCUAAAAGUGUUACCUGCCACCCACACAUCCUUGUAUUUUCUCCUCCAUCCCUCGGAGUCAGAUCUCAGUCAUAAGAGAGAGUUUUCUCUCACCUUCAUGGGUUCGCUGUUGGCACAUGGGCUGGCUGGCACAGGCAGGUGUCUGGAAACAACUCGUCUGAGCAGCAGACUUUGGUUCAUCACAGAAUGAAGGUUUGGGUGCUCUGCCAGGGCAGAUCUGCGUGUUGCAGAGCCAGAAGCUAGGGCUGUUUGAAGUUUGAAUUUCACAGAUACUCGGAUAUGUUUUUGUCUGGCUCAUACUCCUCUCCUGCACUGUCCUUCCCAUGCCUCCUCCAGCAGGUAAUGGAGAGCCAUCUUGACUCCUCCUGUGCCCUAAGAAGGUGUCCUGCCAACAUGGAGAGAUGUCACUGGUGGUGCCAGAGCCCUUCAGAUGGGUAAGGAAAGAUACUUAGGGCCGGUUUAAAAUACUAGGUCUUUCCAGACGGGCAGAGGGAGCUCCAGCACAAAAGCUUUCUGAUGACCCCCCCCUGCUCUGCUACCAUCUCCCUCCUGGCUCUGGUCUGGACAACUGCAACCAGCUCUUUCCCAGGUGAUGCUUGGGGAUCGUUUAAUGGAUAGUCCAAAGGAAGACCAUUUCCAAAAGGGACCACGGACAUGAUUGCUUUAUUUGUCUUUUGACAAAUUGAUUGACUUUAUUUGUCUCCUUCUUUCCUAUACAAUCCUUCAAUGCCAUUUUAGCAGGCUUUCACAUAGCCCCAUGUGCCCCUUUGCCACCAAAGCAGGGUAGGUACGAGACUGUGUCCGUUGUCCAUGGAAUCAGGGAUCAGUCCCUACUCUUCAUUUAUUCAGUACUAAAGAUAUGAGAGAAGAGAUAGAAAACUAGGACAUGGCUGCAAUUUUAGGUGUGUUGGCUGGUAGGGACCUCUGGACCAGCCUCUUGCUCAAAGCAGGACUGUUACCAAAGCUAGGCCUUGAUGCUGUUUAGCCAAGUGUUGAAAAUCUCCAAGGAUGAGAAUUCCCCUCUCUGGAGAACUGCACUGCUCUCCUGGUGAGGUUUUUAUGUUCCACCCAAAAGUCACAGGCUACAACUCCUGUCCCUGCUUCUAUUGCCUGGCAUUACCAAGAAGAGAUUGGCUCUCAGGUCUCUACAGCAGCCCUUCAGGCAGUGGUAGGCCACCUUAGGCACAGGUAGCUUAGCCCUGUAACCUCCUCUUCUCCAAUAACCCAACUCUCCUCCUAGGCUGUGUGCUGUACACCCUGACCACGUUGGCAACCCUCUGCUGGACCAUCUGUGAGUGCCCCACAGUUCUUUUGGACCUGGUGGCCCCAGGCUGGAUUUUAUUAAAUAUUAUCCUGCAGCUUUUACUCGGAUAGAUACCAGCUCUCUUCAUCUGACUACCUCCUUUUUCUCAUCCUUCCCAUGGGGUUUAAAACUCCCUGUUCCACCUGUGGAGAUCCUUUCUUGCUCUUCUUUCCAUUAUUUAGCACAGCGCACAGCACAGGCACAAAAAAGGUCAAUAAAUCCAAAGGUAUCGCAUUGCACACCUCUACUAAGCAAUGUUAUCUCUCCCCCUACAACCCUGACUACUUGAAAAAGCUUGACCUAAAACAUUAGGCUGCUCAUGGGUCAAGAGCACACUCUGCCACGUUCACUAGAAUUGUCUUAUUUCUGUUUCCUCCUUUACCAAAUUACAUAUAAUCCUUAUAUUCAUGUGCUUCCUAUAUACCUUUUCCAUACACUUCAGCUGCAAACUCCUACAGUGUAGCUUAUCACCUUCUGGGUAUGUGAAGUCACAAGCUCAGUGGGAACCUGGUCCAGAGUCAGGGCUCCCUGCAGUCACAGCAGUUGUUGCUAACAGGAACAUGCUUAAUACUGUAGAGCAACAGACCAGUGCCCUGGUUGGGGCUUAUCCAGCAUGCACCUGGCUAAGUCUUGUGAAAAGGACAGAUAAAAGCUGAUUUAAGAGAGGAAGAAAACUGUAGUACGAAAUGAUAAAAUGCAAUCCUGGGAAAGUGAUUUUCAGAUGGCAGCCACGCUCAUGCUGUGAGAUUACAGAAAAGAAUUGGUUUUGCCAGAAGAGGAGCCUGUGAUUUCCACAAUGUUAGUAAUCAAACUCAUUGUGUAACAGAGAAUAAUAUGCAUGCAGCUCAGAUCCCUAUAAUCAGGAAACAGCUUGUUUCUUCCACGGCCCAGCAUGCAGGAAAAAAUGAAAACGUCACUGAUACACACUUGAGCAUAGAUGACAACAGGCAGAACACGAACAACCCCUGCCUCUUGUAAAUCAUGCCUGCAAGCAUCCUGGGGAAAUGGAGCGAUGGGGCAGUGAUCCGUAUGGCAGGUGGUACUGCAGGUUAGCUGCAGCACAAUGUCAGUGUAUGUGGGCUGGAGAUGGUGGGGGGCUGCCUGGUUCGUGUGUUCCUGAGAUUUCUGUGUUAUCUUUCGCGGCCACAGAGUGAGAAUUAUUUCUCCUAACACCCCAGCAGCGGGGGAGGGAGCGGGGAAUGCUGCACAUGACUGCUGCGUUGAGCUGGUGGCACGAAAUACAUGCACAAAGCUGCAAGCAGGCCAAAAAUUCUUCAGUCCUAAGCUCUUUUCAGGACUUGAAUUUGUGUCACAUCCGCAGAAAGGCAGUUACCAGGGACUGCUGUGACUGAGAUGGAGUGGUGUCAGGCGGUCGUAUUUUAUCUUCAAUAGAGUGCUUUUACUGUGCUGUCUUAAGUGGCACAUAGAGCCCACAAGAUAAAACAAGGCAGGAGGGCAGGGAUGCGUGCCCUGCUCUGCUUCUUUAUUGCCAUGGAGGGGGGAGUUAUAGACAGCAAAGGGAAAAGGGAAAGCAUCUGCUGACGGCAGCUGAGGACAUGUUGGCCAUUGAGUCUGGCUGCUGCCACUUGCUGAGGCAGUCAACCACAGCAAGGGGCAGAAAGAGCCAGACUCAGCUUCAGGUGUGGACCCCUUGGGAUGUCGUGACCUAAAGGAUGACCCAGCCUCAAUGGACGUUACAUCAGGGAGUUUGUAAACUGCUGUAAUGCACAAGGGCAUGUAGGCUCUAUUUCUCAGAUUUCUCUGUCACAGGUUAUUACAAAUUCCAGCUAUCAAGUAUACCUAAGAUUAAUAAAGCAAGUAGGUAUCAAGCUAACAUGGAUUAUUACCAGGAAUGCAAAUCUCUCAUUCUCUCAAUAUUACAUGUUACUACAAACUUAGCAGUAGUAAAGUAGCAAAUACACUUAUGAAUGAUUACUUAUGUUUGUAUGUAUAUAUAUAUAGAUAUUUAAAAAUGCUGUUGGUACCAAGUGCCAAUAAAAAGGUCCCAGAUGAUGUCUAACUGACCCCAGAAAAAGGUCAGUGAGGUCCGACCACAGAAGUGAGCCCAGGAGUGGGACCAGUAAGAUAACAAAGUCUCAAGUUGAAGAUGCAGCUCAGGGCCAAAGGGGUGUCUGCAGUGAAGGUUUGAUUUGUAUAGAGGAUCUUUUAGGAAAAAGGAAAGUUUUGUGCAGCACAGGAAGUUCUCAGAGAAAAAAGACUCAACUUUGGAUGGAAAAUGAGUUAUUUUUAUAGUUGCCAAGAAAUGCUGAUAAUUUCUAUUUUUCUCUCAAGAUAACCUUUUUUUUUACUUUCCCCUCACUAUUUUCCUUUCUUGCAGGUAGAACAUCCAAUAGGAGUUGAUAAUUCCUACUUUCUGAGAAUAUUUUCUGUUUUCCAUACUAUUUUUACCUGUUCAGGUGACAAGUUGCUGUUAGUUUGUUGAAUUUUUCCUUAUUGAUGGUACCUCCAGGAAGUGCCCAGUUCUUAUCUACAGAGAUGCCCUUCAAGGAGACCUUUAUGGGUCACAUUUAUGGCUCCUACGGUCUGGUCAAUACAGCAUUCUCUGCACCCCGUGCACCCUGCUACAAGCCUGUUGCAGCUUGGUUUCUUGGCCACAAAGGCAUGGAGGUGUGCACAUUGCCCAUGGAUGAGGCACUGGAGAAGGACACAGUUCUCAGUCUUCAUUCUCCGGCUCUUCAGUGUGAUCUUAUGCAGCAUAACGUUUCCACCUGAAUAAUUUACAAGGCAAAAGCACUCCAAGUAUGAAAACAUUUGCAACGAUAUUAGACAGAAAGACAGUCUUCACUGGGCCACUGCAAGGUACCUUUGUUGAAGCCUAUUUCCCUAGGAAAGUACAUGCUCCAACAAAUAGCCACUUGGAAUGUAAAUCAGGAAAAAAAGAGAAAUAAUCUACUUGGCUGCAAAUGCCUCAAGGAAUGAUGAGCAGAAAAGACACAGAAUAACUGGGGAAUGAUUUUGAAAGCAAUACAUGCAGGCCAAUUGCUCAGAGCCAGUGCCAGAAAAUAAGGCAAGACUUCUUUUAUUAAACAUGAUUGCUGUGACCUUCUCUGGUUAACCUACGGAAGGAAAAAUGAGCUAUGCACCGUGUAUGAUUUGUUGUUGUUACAGCUGGGCUGUUUUUCAGUGAACUCAUAGAAGCUGGAAUGUUUAUUUUGAUUUACUUUCGGUUUAUUUCUUUUUUUUUUUCUCUUAAAAGAGCAUGAAACAUCUAGCAUACAUGUAGCCUUCUCUGAGCACUGUGGCUGCAACCCCCCCUCUCAGCUCCUUUCUAUCUGUGAGCAUCACAGCCAUGCCUUUUCCUACCUC